CAGCAGCCAAGAGCAGUCCCUGGAGCCAGGCAGGAGAGAGCCAGGCGCGUCCCCAGGGCCAGAGGGCAGCGCCGCUGCGCCGUCGGAGCCCAGCUCUCUCUGCCUCCCGGCCAAGCCCCAGCGGCCUCUCUCUUCUGAGGAGUCAAAGGUGGACACUUCUCCAUCCUCCAGUGAGGAGCAGACGCCAGCAGGGUCCCGGAGCCCCUCAGGGAAAGGCCAAGCCCUGCGGAACGCAGUCCAGCACCUCAUCCACGAGGUCCUGAGCCAGGCCAUGCUGGAGGUGCAGGGAGCCUUGGCUGAGGGGAAGGACAGCAGCCAAGAGCAGAACCCGGAGCCAGGCAGGAGAGAGCCAGGCGCGUCCCCAGGGCCAGAGGGCAGCGCCGCUGAGCUGUCGGAGCACGACGGGGAAGCGCAGAGGGCUCUCUCCAGGAAACGUCCCUCCCUCUUCAGUCAGAUGCUCCACGCUGUGUACGGGCUGUUCCGCUUGCCCCACAGGGCACCACAGGAUUAGGCCCCGCUCCAGCGCCAGGCCCGGCCCAGACAGCGCCGCUCGGGCAGCGCUUUGGCGGGACCGACAUCUCCCGCAGAUCAGCCCGGCCCGGGACAGCACGAGCGCCCAAUGAGGCCAAGAAGUGGCCACGGACUGCAGGGGGAUCAGGACCCCCAAAGACCCCCAGACCUCAGACCCAUUUCCAGAGAACUCAACCAGUUUGCACAGAAGACAGAAGGCCAGCUGCCGGGGGAACCCUGAAAAGGCACCCCCAGCAAGCCCAGGAGCCUGGACAUCCCUUCAGCUGGAUUGACACUGGAUACCAGACUGACCCUUGACAGGAUGGAGGCGUCAUCCAUUCUCAGAGGAUGAUAAUGCCAUGACCCGGAUGUGAGUACAGAACAGAUCUGGAUUGACGAGACGCUCAUCCACGACCACAUCAGCCUGACGUUCCCUGAUGAUGGCAACGGGAUGAAGUUGGAGCAGCUGCCCAAAAUGCUAAGUUGGCAACUGAGAGCAAAGGGAGACUCAGCUGCAAUGCUUUGGAGUGUUGAUAAGAGAAGUUAGCAGAGAGGUUCCUUUCCCUUUAGGAGAUAAGAUAGCUCUGCCUGCAGUUGUGACCAUGAGCAAGCCUGGAUUCCAACAGGCUUUACAAGGUUUAAAAAAGCAAAAAAAAAAAAAAAAAGGAAGAUGCAAGACAAAGCCUUAUCCUUUUAGACUCACCAGAGCGGCACUGGGAGAGCAGCUCAGGGAUGAGUGCAAGGAGCUGCAGAGGAGGAAGAAGGAGGAAUGUGCCUUGGCUCUGCCAGUUGAGGAGAUGCAGUGAGUGCCAAGCACAGGGAGAGCAAAGGCCUUCCCAACCUGGAGUUGUUGUUGGUUUGCACUCAGUGCUGAGAAGGAGCCUUUCAUGUGCAAACUCUGCUGGUUUUCCCUCCUAGGAAGCAGCCAGAGCAGCCGUGAGGCCCGUGGGACGGUGUCUCAAGUGGCGGAAGCUCCCGCAGGGAAUGGAGCAUUUACAGCAGAAGUGGGAAGAAGAACGGGAAGAUGAUGAUUUGAUAAAGGAGAAGGAGAAGGAGAAGGAG